rnacentral:rRNA from 1 species
GGAGGAAAAGAAACCAACAGGGAUUGCCCCAGUAACGGCGAGUGAAGCGGCAAGAGCUCAAAUUUGAAAUCUGGCCUCCUUCGGGGGUCCGAGUUGUAAUUUGUAGAGGAUGCUUCGGGUGUGGCCGCCGUCUAAGUUCCUUGGAACAGGACGUCAGAGAGGGUGAGAAUCCCGUCUUGGGCGGCCGGUCCGCGCCCGUGUGAAGCUCCUUCGACGAGUCGAGUUGUUUGGGAAUGCAGCUCUAAGCGGGUGGUAAAUUUCAUCUAAAGCUAAAUACUGGUCGGAGACCGAUAGCGCACAAGUAGAGUGAUCGAAAGGUUAAAAGCACCUUGAAAAGGGAGUUAAACAGCACGUGAAAUUGUUGAAAGGGAAGCGCUUGCGGCCAGACUCGGGGGCGGGGUUCAGCGGGCGCUCGUCGCCCGUGUACUCCCCGUCUCCCGGGCCAGCAUCAGUUUCGACGGCCGGUCAAAGGCCCCCGGAAUGUGUCGUCUCUCGGGACGUCUUAUAGCCGGGGGUGCAAUGCGGCCCGUCGGGACUGA